UGUUUUGAUUUUUGUAUUAUACCACAAAGAAUGUCCAAUAAUACAUAUGUAUCAUUUGUAAAACAAAUUUGUGUUCAAUAUUUUGAAAUAAACGUGCAACACAUUCUCAGAUAUCAAUAGCUUAGUGUGUGAGGAUUUGUAUGUUACAGUAGGUGGUCAAACUAAUAUUAAUUAGAAAAAAAUCUAAACAAUAAUUUGGGACUAAGAUAAUAAUUUCUUAUUAACUCUUAUAAUCAACUUAUUGAUUUCAAAUUUAAUCACAAGAUUUGAUUAUGUCCCACUCUGUAUGUAU
rnacentral:lncRNA from 1 species